UUUUCCCUGAUGAAACAGGAAGAGAAGCUGUUGGCCUUUUCAAUCCCCUAACAUCUGGAUUUAUGAGCAUGCCGCCAAUAUUUUUGUGUGGUGAGGACUGCCAUCCCUAGCCUCACCACUGCUAAAAUUAACUGACAUCUUAGGCCACGUAAGCUGCUUAUUCCCAAAUGUCAAGUCACUAGGGGCACUUACAGCAAAGAGAAUGUUAAUGGGAUAUUUCUGAGAAUAGGCAUUAAGUAUGGAAAACACUGGAGUGAAGAAAUGCACGUCUGAAAGUCAGCUAAGUACCUUAGGCACCAGCCAGAGCAUUCUGUAAUGGGAAGCUGGUGAGACAUACAUUUCUGCAGAGGGAGUUGUGAAACUCAGUCCUUGUCCUGAAAGCUUGCUAUUAGCUUCAAUUCCCAGCACCAGGAAUGCUUAUUCCUUCGCUUAUUCAACAAAGAUGUUAUUCACCCAGCUGUCACAUCAACCCAUCUGUACACUAAUGCAACCUUACGGUUGGCUUUCUCCUACCACAGUACCUCAAACGAUAAUAUAUUAAGGGAAAUAUUGCAUGAUAAGAACUGGUUUAUGAUCCAGAAGUGAAGCCCAGGACUAAUCGGCCACUAACUUGAUUUACUGAGAUCAGAAUCAGGUCAGAAAGAAGGGAAAGGCAAGCUGUGUUUAAGAUUGGUAUUUUAUAUGUUUUUACAUUACAGAAUUACUAUAAAAGCAAAUCAGCCAGGGCACACAUCUGCCUGUAAAAGGAGGCCAUUUGCCUACAAAGCCUCGCUGCUCUCUGCAAGCCAUUUUAAAAGGUCGACUGAAAGGCAUUGUGGAAAUCUGGGAUCUGUCCUGAACAUGCCCACAAACAGACCACUAAUGUAGAUCUGCGUGACAGCUCCUCUACUGUGCAAAAGGCGUAUUAGAUUUGAGAUCUGGCACCUCCUUGUCUCCUCUGAACUCAGUGUACCUGAGCAGUUCACCUGUCUCCCUUCUCACAAUGCUCACUCUUCCUUAAAAAGGAAAAAAAGAAAGAUCUAACACAAAAAGCCCAGAAACCUCACCCUCUUUGAUGCUUAUAGAAUAGAUCACAAGCAGAUUAUCAGUUUCUUGUCACCCCCUUUGCCCCUCCUCCCUGUUAUCCUAAUCAAAGUUAAUACAUUCUAACUAAUAUCUGUGUUGACAUAGGAAUCAUUUGGUGUUUCUGAGGAGCGCAUGCGCCACGUAACCUUGAAUAUGAACAGUCUGAUGGGGUCUGCAGAAAUGCAUAUGGAUGUCCUAAUGAGGCAAUUGCCUUGGGGAAACCAGGCAGGUCUCUCUAAUUGGGGAGCCAGACUUUAAAAGGCAGCUGGCCACGUGCAACGCCAAUUAUUGGAACCACUUAGUUGCAAACCUCAGGAGAUACAACCAGGUUUUAAGUAACAGAUGAUUUGGGGUAAGUACUGGAUACUCAGCAUUGCACGCUCGGCAUUUUUCAGGUUUGACACAUCAUGGCUUAAACUUAAAUAUACUGUUAGUGCAACCAAGUUUUUUUCUCACAGGAAUAUAAAAAUGUGCAUUCUUUUCAACUUACUUGCUUCAGCUUUUGCCUUCUUCAGUCUAAAAGUCCUUAUUGGGACUGGUGGAUAAGGAAGAGUACUGUCUUACUGAAUUGACUGCCAAGUCCUUAGCAAAGCUAGCCUUUUUGAAGCCACGUUUUAUAGCGGAGGUGGACUGUGAUUCCACCCGUUCAUUCACAAAUCCAGUAUUGAACUGUAUUACACCUCUGAUUUCAUCGUGUUUCUGUCUAAACAGUGAACACUGCUGUGUUGCUAGAAGAUACCAAUGGAGGCAGGAGCUGUAGACGUUGUUCCAGAAAUAAAACAAAUAUGAAACAACCCCAACUCUUUCUCAUAAAAGCUCUCUCUUGCUGCGUUCCCCAGGAUCCUUGGCAGAAUUUGGCACCUUCUCCUCUGCCAGAAGGCUCUGAAUAGUGGCCUUUUAGCUUCUGCUACGGUUUACCAGUUUUCCCAUCACAAGUUGGAAGAAGUAAUAACUGGCCCAGGAGACCAGAACAGAGAUAUUACCUCAACAGAUGAAGAUGGAUCUCAAGGCUGAGAGUGUCAAUGUUUAGCACAGACCUGGGAUGAGGAGUGUUUUCUUUAAUAGCAAUGAAGAGUGGUGGAAUAAGUUCCUGUCUCUGCCACUGCCCUUCAGAACAAGUCGCAACCAAACCAUCAAAUCCAUAAUCCUAGAAAAGCAGGUCUGGACAAAUGGAUUAAUGUGAUUGUCCUGACACAAGAUCACAUUCUCAGUUACUAGGUGCUUGCUGAAUGAAAGGAGAUCAUAUAAAUGCUCUGUAAUGCCAUGGCAUCAUUUGGCAAAGAUUUCAACUUGUCAGAAGUGGUAAGGAAAUUAAACACGAGGAAAUUUGCUGAAGGCUGUUUAGAAGUACAGACACAGUGCAUCAGCCAGAUCACCCUUACUCAACUCCUUGUUGACAGCUUCAAAUAACUCUGCUAAGCCUGCAAGAGCCGGCAUGUUCUCUGAAGAUCUUUCUUUUUUUUGCCAACUAUAAGUUACUCAGAGGACAGUUUGAAGGGCAGUAGCUGAUGAGCUGAAGAUCCCCUGUGGGCUCAAACUCUCUAAAACAUGGUGCACAGCCACAGAUCUUACAGGCAAGACACAAAAUUUAUAUAAAAGAUGCCAGAGCUUUCUUUUGCAAGCUAAAGGAGGGAAGAGGAACAAUAAGGACCACAGUG